GAAGUUAGUUGCCAUUUUCACUUGUUGCAUGUGUAAGUGAGAGUUCAUCAAAGUACAAUCCAAUCUUACUACAUCUAUUGUUGUUUUUGCUACAAGGUAUACAGCCUCAACAUUUAUUUGCAUGUGUGAGUGAAAACACACAAACAUGGAGGAGGAUGAGACUGAACGUUCGUCCCGGGAUUCUUCCCAACAUUCGGAUAAGCAAAAGGAUUCUGCCCAACCAAGACAAGAUGAGUUCAUAAAAAAGAGGGGGGCUACGUCUGUUGUUUGGAAUUGGUUUGGGUAUGAAAAAUCAGACACAGCAAAAAAUCAAACUUAGUAUACCGCAGAUCAGUCCCAAUUCCGACUCAAACACAACAAGCCUAUUUGAUCACCUAGAAAAGAAUCAUGAUGCAGUACCGAGAGAGACAAAAAAUUUUAACUAUCAAAGGAAAGUCGAGUGUUAAAAGCAAACAUCAGACGCAAACUUUGAAGGAUGCUUUUGCCCGAGGCACUCCAUAUGACAAGACAUCAGGAACAUGAAAGGAGAUAACGUGUGCCAUUACGAUACACAUAUGCAAAGACAUGGUGCCGAUUUACACCGUUGAGAAGACAGGGUUUAAAUCAUUAGUCAAAACCUGAGGUAUGUUAUGCCAAGCCGCAAGCAUUUGGUGAAAUUUAGUUGCCACGUUUAUAUGAAGAAUGUAGGGCUAAAGUUGUAGUGAAGCUUAGCGGGGUAACGUACUAUGCAAUAACAACCGACAUGUGGACGAGCCGAAUGACAGAGCCUUAUUUGAGCUUGACAAUCCAUUUAAUCAAAGACUGGACACUGUGUAGUCGAUGUCUACAGACUAGGUAUUUCCCCAAUGACCAUAAGGACAGCUUAUAGCCAAGGGUCUUAAGGAAGCUCUAGAGUCAUGGGGAUUGCUGGAAGAUCAGCUAGUCUGUGUCACCAUGGACAACGCCACUAACAAUAUCAGUGCUAUGGAGCGGAAAGACUGGAGGAGAUUAGUGUUUUGGCCAUUGACUUCAUCUAGCUAUUGGUGAGUGUCUAAUGAGUAAAAUCAUUAAUGCUCAUAGGUUAAUAAUAAUGGUUAUUUGGAGGACCGAUAAGGUUCUCUGUUGUUAUUAUUUGAUUGAAAGAAGUUAGAAGUAUUUUAACACAAGAAAAUGCAUUGCUGAUUAAAUAUUUUUACAACAUGUAUGCCAGUUCAGCUGGGGUUUCUGGCAGUUAGCUAUGCAUAUAAUUCAAAAUAAUUAUAAAACAAUAAUUUUUCAUUAAUAAAUAUAAUUUAAAAAUGUCAUAAAUAAUUGUAAUUGUUAUAAAUGCCAUGCCACCUGUCCUGUAAAGUGCAAUUACAAGCUAUUGUGGAAAAAUUACUUUUACCUUCCCUUUAUCUUGACAGAGCGAGGUGUGAAACUACCACAAGUGGAGCGUGCAGUUGGUGUCUGCAAGAAGUUGGUGGGUGCCUUCUCUAAUUCUUGUAAGAGAAGACAGGAGCUGACCAAGGCUGAAGUAGAGCUGGGCUUGCCUGCUCAUCAGCUGAUCACAGAGACCCCCACCAGAUGGGGAUCUUGACAACAGAUGAUUGAAAAGGGAGCAGGAGAAAGCUCUAACACAGGUCAUCCAAGCAGACAAGAAGACACGACAUCUGGCAGGAAAUGGGUGUUCUGGAGUCUAUCAACAAGGAACUCAGCCCCCUCAUGGAGUUUACAGAUGCCUUGUCUGGGGAGCAGUACACAAGUGUAUCUGUUGUGAAACCCGUGCACCACCUUUUUAAUAACUAAGUUCUCAAGCGUCAACAUGACGACAUUCCGCUCACCACGUCCAUCAAAGGCACUAUCCUCAAUUACUUAAAUGAGAAGUUUGAUGACGAAACCACAGAGGAGCUGCUUGACAUGGGUUCACUUCUCGAUCCUUGGUUCAAAACCACUUACAUAAAAGAAGAGAAGGAGGACUACAUGAAGACGAAAUCUGCGGCAGAAAUUGAGAGGCUAGCACCUAUACAAGUAGCGUCAGAAGACGCAGUCUCCAUUCCACCAGUUGCUAGAGAUGAGCCAGAGCUUUCUGCUAAGAAACAAUAGAAAAGUUUUGGCAGCUACUUAAAAAAAGCAGCAGUGCAAGACCAAGCCACCCCUCAGAGAGAAAGGGAGUUCAGCAACUACCUCCAAACAGAGAGCUACCCCCUGGAAUGGUGGAAGCAGGACAAGACAUAUUUCACACUGGUGGCCAGGCUAGCAAAGAAAUAUUUGUGCAUCCCGGCCACAAGAGCCCCAUCAGGGCGGGCGUUCAGCACAAGUGGGAAUAUUGUGAUAUGUAUUAGGUCAUCAUUAAAACCAGAGGGGGUUGACCAGCUUGUAUUCCUGGCCCUCAACCAAACCCCUGAAAGGCAGCACAAGGCAAAAAUAAAUUGUAAAAGAAACACGGAAACGUUGUCGCUGCUGUCUAUUUUGUUUGCUGCACUUUGAUUGUAUUACUUUUGGUAUUUUAUAUUCUUAUUUGUGUCAUUUAUUUAUUUUGUUUAAUCUUAUGGCUGUUACUUAAAAUAAUCAAAUUUACUUGAUAUUCAUAUUGUAGGCCUAUGUUUAUUUUGUUUGCUGUUAUGGCUGAUACUUCAAAGUGUUUUAUACUUGAUGUUCUAUAUACAUAUUGUAGACCGUCAUUUCGUUUGCAGCUAUAAUUCACUUGAAAGUAAUUUUUAUGUAUACAUUGCACUUCAAGUUUUAAAUAAAAGUAGAAAAUUAUGAGUUGUAUCAAGUUAAGUAUUUAAAAAUAAUAUUCUUGACUAUGUGGUUAUUUAAAAAAAACUAGUAAUAGAUUUUCAAGGAAAUGUGAUAUUCUAUGAUAUAUAUAGUUAUAGUAAAAUAAAAUGACUUAUUCCAUGAUAUAUAUUUUUGCCUAUAUCGCCCACACCUAGUGCCAUGUUGUCUGGUGUCUCAACUCAGUGGGUCACCCUAAUCUCACACCAAUGGACCUAUUUGAUUCCUGAAAGGAACAGACAUACACGGUGGGGUCCAAGGUAGCCCCAUCCGCUCAGACGAACCAGAAGUGAGGAUGGACAAAUCAACAAAGUAGAAAUAUGACAUUUGUUGGAUUAAUCUCUCUGAUAUUUGGCCUUUUAAUUUGUGUCUCAAAAAGGGAUAAACUCUCCAAUAGCUUUCAAUGCUGUACAUGUCAUGUAUCAUUUGUUACAGGUAAAUGUUUACUGGAUGAAGAAUCCUGCAAGACCAAGAGUCAUGCUUUGGAUGGUGCUAAUUGAAUAUUUGUAAAUGUGUGAAUGCUGGUUUCUUUAUUUUCAUUGUUUUAGCCAAGGUGAGGUGAUCCUAUUAUAGAUGCAAUGGGGGAGUUUGGAAUCGGUCUGUCUAGAUGGGAUAAAUAAUGACGUUUGACUUGAUUCUUGGAGUCUAUCAUUAACAGAAGGUCCUAGCAUACCUUCUUGCUGUAGUGUUAAAUACUUAUGGUAUAUUUAGCAGACUAGGUGGGAGGAUGUUGAAUCAUGUUGGUAUGUAACUGUUUUGUAUUGUGACAUUAUGACUUAAUUGGAAUGAAUUGUAUUACUUUGGAAUAUAGAUUACUACGUCAUUCUUCGUUCAUCUCCAUACUCAAGCUCGUAGAGUUACUCGUAAUUACACACACACGUAAGUCUAAGCGACCAGAUGUGGUAUCCUUAAGUCCUGGAUUCU
ensembl:lncRNA